rnacentral:rRNA from 1 species
AACGAACGCUGGCGGCGUGCCUAAUACAUGCAAGUUGAGCGCUGAAGGUUGGUACUUGUACCGACUGGAUGAGCAGCGAACGGGUGAGUAACGCGUGGGGAAUCUGCCUUUGAGCGGGGGACAACAUUUGGAAACGAAUGCUAAUACCGCAUAAAAACUUUAAACACAAGUUUUAAGUUUGAAAGAUGCAAUUGCAUCACUCAAAGAUGAUCCCGCGUUGUAUUAGCUAGUUGGUGAGGUAAAGGCUCACCAAGGCGAUGAUACAUAGCCGACCUGAGAGGGUGAUCGGCAACAUUGGGACUGAGACACGGCCCAAACUCCUACGGGAGGCAGCAGUAGGGAAGCUUCGGCAAUGGACGAAAGUCUGACCGAGCAACGCCGCGUGAGUGAAGAAGGUUUUCGGAUCGUAAAACUCUGUUGGUAGAGAAGAACGUUGGUGAGAGUGGAAAGCUCAUCAAGUGACGGUAACUACCCAGAAAGGGACGGCUAACUAUGUGCCAGCAGCCGCCGUAAAAC